AGAUAGAUAGAUAAGUGAAAGGCACUAGAUAGAUAGAUAGAUAGAUAGAUAGAUAGAUAGAUAGAUAGAUAGAUAGAUAGAUAGAUAGAUAAGUGAAAGGCACUAUAUAAUAGAUAGAUAGAUAAAUAGAUAAGUGAAAGGCACUAUAUAAUAGAUAGAUAGAUAAAUAGAUAAGUGAAAGGCACUAUAUAAUAGAUAGAUAGAUAAAUAGAUAAGUGAAAGGCACUAUAUAAUAGAUAGAUAGAUAAAUAGAUAAGUGAAAGGCACUAUAUAAUAGAUAGAUAGAUAAAUAGAUAAGUGAAAGGCACUAUAUAAUAGAUAGAUAGAUA